GAUGAACGCUGGCGGCGUGCUUAACACAUGCAAGUCGAACGUGAGAAUAGCAAUAUUUGAAAGUGGCAAACGGGUGAGUAACACGUGGGAACCUGCCUCGAAGUGGGGGAUAACGAUUGGAAACGGUCGCUAAUACCGCACGGUUCUGCUCUGAUGGGAAUGGAGCAGAUAAAGAUUUAUCGCUUUGAGAGGGGCCCGCGGCCGAUUAGCUAGUUGGUAAGGUAAAGGCUUACCAAGGCGAUUAUCGGUAGCUGGUCUGAGAGGACGAUCAGCCACACGGGAACUGAGACACGGUCCCGACUCCUACGGGGGGCAGCAGUGAGGAAUAUUGGGCAAUGGGCGAAAGCCUGACCCAGCAACGCCGCGUGGAGGAUGACGGUUUUCGGAUUGUAAACUCCUGUUAAGCGGGAAGAAAGCCUUGUUUCUAAUACAAGCAAGGUAUGACGGUACCGCUAGAGAAAGCACCGGCUAACUUCGUG
rnacentral:rRNA from 1 species